rnacentral:rRNA from 1 species
GACGAACGCUGGCGGCGUGCCUAAUACAUGCAAGUAGAACGCUGAAGGAGGAGCUUGCUUCUCUGGAUGAGUUGCGAACGGGUGAGUAACGCGUAGGUAACCUGCCUGGUAGCGGGGGAUAACUAUUGGAAACGAUAGCUAAUACCGCAUAAUAGCAGUUGUUGCAUGACAACUGUUUGAAAGGUGCAAUUGCACCACUACCAGAUGGACCUGCGUUGUAUUAGCUAGUUGGUGGGGUAACGGCUCACCAAGGCGACGAUACAUAGCCGACCUGAGAGGGGGAUCGGCCACACUGGGACUGAGACACGGCCCAGACUCCUACGGGAGGCAGCAGUAGGGAAUCUUCGGCAAUGGACGGAAGUCUGACCGAGCAACGCCGCGUGAGUGAAGAAGGUUUUCGGAUCGUAAAGCUCGGUUGUAAGAGAAGAACGAGUGUGAGAGUGGAAAGUUCACACUGUGACGGUAUCUUACCAGAAAGGGACGGCUAACUACGUG